GUAAACACAAGCAGUCACCACAAACCACUGCUCGCCAGAGAAGUACAAGUGAAAAACUAGAAACUCAAAGGACUUGGCGGUGCCCCAUAUCACCCUAGAGGAGCCUGUCGCAUAAUCGAUACCCCACGCUUAACCUAACCUGCCUUCGCCAAUCAGCCUAUAUACCGCCGUCGCCAGCCUGCCUAAUGAUAGACCCAAAGCAGGCACAAUUAGCCCCCUAAACACGUCAGGUCAAGGUGUAGCUAAUAAGCAGGUGCUAGAUGGGCUACAUUUUCUACGCACAAGAAAACUACUGCAGACAACAUGAAAUAUAAGCCGAAAGACGGAUUUAGCAGUAAGCCGGACAAGAAAGCCCAGCUGAAAGCCGCCCUGGG
rnacentral:rRNA from 1 species